UACGGAAGGCAGCAGUGGGGAAUAUUGCACAAUGGGCGAAAGCCUGAUGCAGCUAUGCCGCGUGUAUGAAGAAGGCCUUAGGGUUGUAAAGUACUUUCAUCGGGGAGGAAAAACAAAACUAAUAAUUUUAUUUCUUGACGUUACCCGAAAAAGAAGCACCGGCUAACUCCGUGCCAGCAGCCGCGGUAAUACGGAGGGUGCUAGCGUUAAUCAGAAUUACUGGGCGUAAAGAGCACGUAGGUGGUUUUUUAAGUCAGAUGUGAAAUCCCUGGGCUUAACCUAGGAACUGCAUUUUGAAACUGAAAUACUAGAGUAUCGUAGAGGGAGGUAGAAUUCUAGGUGUAGCGGUGAAAUGCGUAGAUAUCUGGAGGAAUACCUGUGGCGAAAGCGGCCUCCUAAAACGAAUAACUGACACUGAGGUGCGAAAAGCGUGGGGAGCAAAACAGGGAUUAGAUACC
rnacentral:rRNA from 1 species